AGCCAGCAGCCGCGGUAAUACGUAGGGGGCGAGCGUUGUCCGGAAUUACUGGGCGUAAAGGGUGCGUAGGCGGUUUUUUAAGUCAGAUGUGAAAUACCCGGGCUUAACCUGGGGGGUGCAUUUGAAACUGGGAGACUUGAGUGCAGGAGAGGAAAGUGGAAUUCCUAGUGUAGCGGUGAAAUGCGUAGAUAUUAGGAGGAACACCAGUGGCGAAGGCGACUUUCUGGACUGUAACUGACGCUGAGGCACGAAAGCGUGGGGAGCAAACAGGAUUAGAUACCCUGGUAGUCCACGCUGUAAACGAUGGAUACUAGGUGUAGGGGGCGAUAGCUCUCUGUGCCGCAGCAAACGCAAUAAGUAUCCCGCCUGGGGAGUACGAUCGCAAGGUUGAAACUCAAAUAAAUUGACGG
rnacentral:rRNA from 1 species